rnacentral:rRNA from 1 species
UACGGGGGGAGCAAGCGUUGUUCGGAAUCACUGGGCGUAAAGGGCGUGUAGGCGGUCUGGUAAGUGGGAUGUGAAAGCCCCCGGCUCACCCGGGGAUCUGCAUUCCAAACUGCCAGACUUGAGUAUGGGAGAGGACAGGGGAAUUCCUGGUGUAGCGGUGAAAUGCGUAGAUAUCAGGAGGAACACCGGUGGCGAAAGCGCCUGUCUGGCCCAAUACUGACGCUGAUGCGCGAAAGCUAGGGGAGCAAACGGG